UACGAAGGGAGCUAGCGUUGUUCGGGCUUACUGGGCGUAAAGCGCACGUCGGCGGGCUCUUAAGUCAGGGGUGAAAUCCCGAGGCUCAACCUCGGAACUGCCUUUGAUACUGAGAGCCACGAGGUCGGGAGAGGUGAGUGGAAUUCCUAGUGUAGAGGUGAAAUUCGUAGAUAUUAGGAAGAACACCAGUGGCGAAGGCGGCUCACUGGCCCGAAUCUGACGCUGAGGUGCGAAAGCGUGGGGAGCAAACAGG
rnacentral:rRNA from 1 species